GACGAACGCUGGCGUCGUGCUUAACACAUGCAAGUCGAACGAGACGAUUGAAAGCUUUCUUUCGAAAGUCGAGUGGCAAACGGGUGAGUAACGCGUAGACAACCUGCCUUUGAGAUGAGGACAACAGUACGAAAGGACUGCUACUACCGAAUGUUGUAUAUUUUCCACAGUGAAGAGAUAUUAACGAUUGCCGCUAUUUAUAAGCUAUCGCACAAAGAUGUGUCGGCGUCUGAUUAGCUUGUUGGUGGGGUAAUGGCCUACCAAGGCGACGAUCAGUAGCCGGUCUUAGAGGAUGAACGGCCACAUUGGGACUGAGACACGGCCCAGACUCCUACGGGAGGCAGCAGUGGGGAAUCUUCCACAAUGGACGAAAGUCUGAUGGAGCAACGCCGCGUGAGUGAAGAAGGGUUUCGGAUCGUAAAGCUCUGUUGUCGGGGACGAAUGUGCAGUAUUUGAAUAAAGUACUGCAAUGACGGUACCUGACGAGGAAGCCACGGCUAACUACGUGCCAGCAGCCGCAGUAA
rnacentral:rRNA from 1 species